rnacentral:rRNA from 1 species
CGGGACACGUGGUAUCCUGUCUGAAUAUGGGGGGACCAUCCUCCAAGGCUAAAUACUCCUGACUGACCGAUAGUGAACCAGUACCGUGAGGGAAAGGCGAAAAGAACCCCGGCGAGGGGAGUGAAAAAGAACCUGAAACCGUGUACGUACAAGCAGUGGGAGCCUCUUUAUGGGGUGACUGCGUACCUUUUGUAUAAUGGGUCAGCGACUUAUAUUCUGUAGCAAGGUUAACCGAAUAGGGGAGCCGAAGGGAAACCGAGUCUUAACUGGGCGUUAAGUUGCAGGGUAUAGACCCGAAACCCGGUGAUCUAGCCAUGGGCAGGUUGAAGGUUGGGUAACACUAACUGGAGGACCGAACCGACUAAUGUUGAAAAAUUAGCGGAUGACUUGUGGCUGGGGGUGAAAGGCCAAUCAAACCGGGAGAUAGCUGGUUCUCCCCGAAAGCUAUUUAGGUAGCGCCUCGUGAAUUCAUCUCCGGGGGUAGAGCACUGUUUCGGCAAGGGGGUCAUCCCGACUUACCAACCCGAUGCAAACUGCGAAUACCGGAGAAUGUUAUCACGGGAGACACACGGCGGGUGCUAACGUCCGUCGUGAAGAGGGAAACAACCCAGACCGCCAGCUAAGGUCCCAAAGUCAUGGUUAAGUGGGAAACGAUGUGGGAAGGCCCAGACAGCCAGGAUGUUGGCUUAGAAGCAGCCAUCAUUUAAAGAAAGCGUAAUAGCUCACUGGUCGAGUCGGCCUGCGCGGAAGAUGUAACGGGGCUAAACCAUGCACCGAAGCUGCGGCAGCGACGCUUAUGCGUUGUUGGGUAGGGGAGCGUUCUGUAAGCCUGCGAAGGUGUGCUGUGAGGCAUGCUGGAGGUAUCAGAAGUGCGAAUGCUGACAUAAGUAACGAUAAAGCGGGUGAAAAGCCCGCUCGCCGGAAGACCAAGGGUUCCUGUCCAACGUUAAUCGGGGCAGGGUGAGUCGACCCCUAAGGCGAGGCCGAAAGGCGUAGUCGAUGGGAAACAGGUUAAUAUUCCUGUACUUGGUGUUACUGCGAAGGGGGGACGGAGAAGGCUAUGUUGGCCGGGCGACGGUUGUCCCGGUUUAAGCGUGUAGGCUGGUUUUCCAGGCAAAUCCGGAAAAUCAAGGCUGAGGCGUGAUGACGAGGCACUACGGUGCUGAAGCAACAAAUGCCCUGCUUCCAGGAAAAGCCUCUAAGCAUCAGGUAACAUCAAAUCGUACCCCAAACCGACACAGGUGGUCAGGUAGAGAAUACCAAGGCGCUUGAGAGAACUCGGGUGAAGGAACUAGGCAAAAUGGUGCCGUAACUUCGGGAGAAGGCACGCUGAUAUGUAGGUGAAGCGACUUGCUCGUGGAGCUGAAAUCAGUCGAAGAUACCAGCUGGCUGCAACUGUUUAUUAAAAACACAGCACUGUGCAAACACGAAAGUGGACGUAUACGGUGUGACGCCUGCCCGGUGCCGGAAGGUUAAUUGAUGGGGUUAGCGGUAACGCGAAGCUCUUGAUCGAAGCCCCGGUAAACGGCGGCCGUAACUAUAACGGUCCUAAGGUAGCGAAAUUCCUUGUCGGGUAAGUUCCGACCUGCACGAAUGGCGUAAUGAUGGCCAGGCUGUCUCCACCCGAGACUCAGUGAAAUUGAACUCGCUGUGAAGAUGCAGUGUACCCGCGGCAAGACGGAAAGACCCCGUGAACCUUUACUAUAGCUUGACACUGAACAUUGAGCCUUGAUGUGUAGGAUAGGUGGGAGGCUUUGAAGUGUGGACGCCAGUCUGCAUGGAGCCGGCCUUGAAAUACCACCCUUUAAUGUUUGAUGUUCUAACGUUGGCCCCUGAUCGGGGUUGCGGACAGUGUCUGGUGGGUAGUUUGACUGGGGCGGUCUCCUCCUAAAGAGUAACGGAGGAGCACGAAGGUUGGCUAAUCCUGGUCGGACAUCAGGAGGUUAGUGCAAUGGCAUAAGCCAGCUUGACUGCGAGCGUGACGGCGCGAGCAGGUGCGAAAGCAGGUCAUAGUGAUCCGGUGGUUCUGAAUGGAAGGGCCAUCGCUCAACGGAUAAAAGGUACUCCGGGGAUAACAGGCUGAUACCGCCCAAGAGUUCAUAUCGACGGCGGUGUUUGGCACCUCGAUGUCGGCUCAUCACAUCCUGGGGCUGAAGUAGGUCCCAAGGGUAUGGCUGUUCGCCAUUUAAAGUGGUACGCGAGCUGGGUUUAGAACGUCGUGAGACAGUUCGGUCCCUAUCUGCCGUGGGCGCUGGAGAACUGAGGGGGGCUGCUCCUAGUACGAGAGGACCGGAGUGGACGCAUCACUGGUGUUCGGGUUGUCAUGCCAAUGGCACUGCCCGGUAGCUAAAUGCGGAAGAGAUAAGUGCUGAAAGCAUCUAAGCACGAAACUUGCCCCGAGAUGAGUUCUCCCUGAGACUUUAAGUCUCCUGAAGGAACGUUGAAGACGACGACGUUGAUAGGCCGGGUGUGUAAGCGCAGCGAUGCGUUGAGCUAACCGGUACUAAUGAACC